rnacentral:rRNA from 1 species
CCUACGGGGGGCAGCAGUGAGGAAUAUUGGGCAAUGGAGGCAACUCUGACCCAGCCAUGCCGCGUGAGUGAAGAAGGUUUUCGGAUUGUAAAGCUCUUUCGGAUGUGACGAUGAUGACGGUAGCAUCUAAAGAAGCCCCGGCUAACUUCGUGCCAGCAGCCGCGGUAAUACGAAGGGGGCAAGCGUUGUUCGGAAUUACUGGGCGUAAAGGGAGUGUAGGCGGUUUAGUAAGAUAGUGGUGAAAUCCCAGAGCUUAACUUUGGAAUUGCCAUUAUAACUAUUAGACUAGAAUUACAGAGAGGAUA